AUGUGGACCUCGCCGACGUCGCGGUCGCCGAGGGCGCGCUCGGCGCGGAGCAGCACGUGGACGGACCCCGCGGCGCUAGCGGGGACGGUGAAGCGGACCGUGGCGUUCCAGGUCGGGUUGCGGCCGCCGGAGCGGUCGGUGGCGACGCGCUGGCGGGAGCGCGGGUCGCCGGAGAGGGAGACGACGGCGUACACCUCCAUGGCCGAGAAGAGGUUCACGUCCUUGAGGUCCUUGCCCGAUAUCAGGGUCAGCUCCAGCGCCCUCUGCGCCAUGGCGACGGCGAACUUGAUGAUCUUGGUGCCGAUUGCGAUUUGUGUGGAUCGAAAUAGAGGAGAGAGGAGGGGAGAGCGGAUCUGGCUGUGGAUGUAUCCGAAGACUUGGUGA
rnacentral:rRNA from 1 species